rnacentral:sRNA from 1 species
AGUAAAAAGAAGAAGAAGAAGUGAAAGA